UACAGAGGACUCAAGCGUUGUUCGGAAUCACUGGGCGUAAAGCGUGCGUAGGCUGUUUCGUAAGUCGUGUGUGAAAGGCGCGGGCUCAACCCGCGGACGGCACAUGAUACUGCGAGACUAGAGUAAUGGAGGGGGAACCGGAAUUCUCGGUGUAGCAGUGAAAUGCGUAGAUAUCGAGAGGAACACUCGUGGCGAAGGCGGCUCUCUGGUCUGUAACUGACGCUGAGGCUCGAAAGCAUGGGUAGCGAACAGG
rnacentral:rRNA from 1 species